rnacentral:lncRNA from 7 species
GAAAAAAAAAAGGAAACUCAGGGUAAGAAGAGCUGAAAUUACAGGAGAAGGAAGAAAAGGGGUGAUGAAGGCUGUGGCAUUGGCAAUACAGCUGCUUUUAGGGACUGUAAGAAGGAGUGAAAAAUACCACCAAGGGAAUCCAGCCAGGUGGUUAUAAAGUAUGAUAAAAUAGGAUUUAGGGGAACAGCUUGCAGCAUGCCAUGCUGGGACGCGGGAGCCUGGGUCUCCAUUAUGAUUACACUACAGUGAGUGCCAAAGACUGCCUGGAAAUUGGAUCAGCUGAGCUUUGAACAGUAUCUGCUGCUUUUCCCACCGAAUCAGAAGCCAGCCUACCUCUGCAGAGCUUCACCGCCAUGCUCAGACCCAGUUUCUACUUGAGCAGUGUCAAGACUAACUGUCCCUGAAAGUACUAAUGGAAGGAAAAAACUAGGUUGUAACUGACUAAAUUCUGCUUGUCUUAGGCUGAUUUCUGGUAUCAUUCUUUCAACUGUAAAAAAAACUGAGUUUGUUGUGCCAAUUCUUCCGUUUCAGGACUUAAUGAAAAACCUUAGGAAUUGGCAGUUUCCCUAAUAUAAUACAGUCCUCUAAAAGUGUUCUGUGCUACCAAGAUGGUCCACUGUACUUCUGCACUCAAAGCAGAUAAUUGGAGGAGAGAAAUAAAGACUGAGACCAGGUCCCCAUUUUUGCACAGCACCUUUGAUGUACCUUCCCCACUUCAUUAAAGAACAGAGCUUCCAACAAGUUUGUUUUAGCUCCCAUAGAAGAAGUGAGAGGCUAACCGGUCUUGCCUGAAGGAAUUGGGUUAUGCAGUACAUGGAAGUGUUGUUUGCGGUAGUAAACUUAAGCUUUGUGGACAGCUUUUUUUCCUAGUACAAAGUAUACAUUUCUGUUAUUUAAAAUGCUUCUUGUAUACAAUAGAACUUGAUCUCACUUCAAUUGUCAAUGUUUACAAUGAACUGUAAGAAUAUAUAGCAGUGUGCUUAUAGUGAAGUUACUUGAGACUUACACAGCCAUAAGCAAGAUCAUAAUCUGAUCCACUGUCCCCUCAGCAAAGGAUUUUAUAUGGUGGGGAUCACGUUUGUAGAUCUUUUUUCAGAGGUAACUAAAACAGACAAAACAAAUAAGAAAUCCCCUUAAUGCAGUCAGACCUUGGCUUGAGAUUUACAUGAAAUAUAUUCAUCUUCACCUUCAAAUAAAUGUCCUUUUAUUCAUAGUGAGUAGUUUGCUAUAGUUUCAGUUCUCACUUUCUCAGAGCUCCAUGCUGCUUGCACUGUUCACCCUCCAUUUUCACAGUCAUGGCUUGAAGAAAUUAAGUAUGAUUAUGGAAGAAAUGGAGGACGGUCUGUUUCUUAUGUGAUCUGUACUUGGGAAGAGCUGUGGCUGACUUUACGUAUGUACCUCUUAGAGUGGGCCUUUUUUGUUCUGUUUUCUUCUGUCUCUAGGAGUAAGAGUUUAGCUGUAUAAACCACAACAAAUUCUGUGUUUCUCUAUCUUAACAGCUUUUGUAAAUGCUGG